CCUACGGGUGGCAGCAGUGAGGAAUAUUGGUCAAUGGACGAGAGUCUGAACCAGCCAAGUAGCGUGAAGGAUGACUGCCCUAUGGGUUGUAAACUUCUUUUAUAAAGGAAUAAAACGAGGCACGUGUGCCUUUUUGCCUGUCCUUUAUGAAUCAGGCUCGGCUAACUCCGUGCCAGCAGCCGCGGUAAUACGGGGGGAGCAAGCGUUGUCCGGACUCAUUGGGCGUAAAGAGUUCGUAGGUGGCACGUUAAGUCUGGUGUUAAAGGCGGAAGCUCAACUUCCGUAGGGCACUGGAUACUGGCGAGCUUGAAUGCGGUAGAGGUAAAGGGAAUUCCUGGUGUAGCGGUGAAAUGCGGAGAUAUCAGGAGGAACAUCGGUGGCGUAGGCGCUUUACUGGGCCGUAAUUGACACUGAGGAACGAAAGCCGGGGUAGCAAAUGGGAUUAGAUACCCCAGUAGUC
rnacentral:rRNA from 1 species